rnacentral:lncRNA from 1 species
AUAACUUCUAAGCAGAAGAAUGCUCUGUAGCUCACUGAUCUCAUUGCACCAUCUGCCAAGUCAGUCUUUUCUUCUGCUUCAGAACAUUAUGAAAGUUCAACAGAAUCCCUCAUAGCCUUAGGGACUGAGCUGGAUUUAGCUUUGCUACUAGAUCGGGAUGGAGAUUGCAGAAUGAGGCAUAGCAAGGUUACCACUUCAAAGCAAGAUGGAGGCAUUCCCCUGAGAUGCAAGAGAAGAUAGGUAGUAGCUGCAGUGAUGGUGGAAAUCGGAGAUCUCCAUCUGGCACAGGUUGACUGGAAGAUUCAUACACACAGUGAUAAAAAGGGUGAGGUAUUCUGUUAAUUUCUAGGGGAUCUGUGUGUGUGUGAGGCCUUGUCUACAUUGGAGAAUCAUACCAUGUUUAAUUAGAAUGGUAGUACUGGCCUCUUACAUGGCAUCUACACCAGCAGUGUCCAACUGGCUCUAAAUUGUGGCCUUCCAGGGUGACUGAGUGAAGAAGAAAUGUUGUAUUUCAGUGUUAUGUGAUCUGUUUGUAUUGGUGGGGUAGCACAUGCAGGCAUGUUCACCAGAAGAA